rnacentral:rRNA from 1 species
GCAUAUCAAUAAGCGGAGGAAAAGAAACCACCGGGGUAUUGCCUCAGUACGGCGAGUGAAGCGGCAAAAGCUCAAAUUUGAAAUCUGGUUGUGCCUGGCGCAGCCCGAGUUGUAAUUUGAAGAAGGCGACUCUGGAGGCGGCCCUUGCCUAUGUUCCUUGGAACAGGACGUCACAGAGGGUGAGAAUCCCGUGCGGCGAGGUGGCCCCGGCUCCGUGUAGAGCGCUUUCGAAGAGUCGAGUUGUUUGGGAAUGCAGCUCUAAGUGGGUGGUAAAUUCCAUCUAAAGCUAAAUAUUGGCGAGAGACCGAUAGCGAACAAGUACAGUGAUGGAAAGAUGAAAAGAACUUUGAAAAGAGAGUGAAAAAGUACGUGAAAUUGUUGAAAGGGAAGGGUAUUAGAUCAGACUUGGCGGUUGCUGGGGAUCCCCCCCUGCCCUUGUGGCGGGAGGCUACUCCCUGCGCGCUGGGCCAGCAUCGAUUCGGACGGCGGGAGAAUGGCGUGGAGAAUGUGGCAGCGGCCCUUUGCGGGGCUGGUGUGCUUAUAGCUCUGGGCAGAUGCCGCCUGUGUGGAUCGAGGAGUGCGUCCUUAGGGACUAAGAUGCUGGCGUAAUGAUCUAACACCGCCCGUCUUGAAACACGGACC